rnacentral:rRNA from 1 species
UACGUAGGGGGCGAGCGUUAUCCGGAUUUACUGGGUGUAAAGGGCGUGUAGGCGGGAUGGUAAGUCAGAUGUGAAAUCCUGCGGCUUAACCGCAGAACUGCAUUUGAAACUGUUGAUCUUGAGUACUGGAGAGGCAGACGGAAUUCCUAGUGUAGCGGUGAAAUGCGUAGAUAUUAGGAGGAACACCAGUGGCGAAGGCGGCUUACUGGACGAUGACUGACGCUGAGGCUCGAAAGCGUGGGGAGCAAACAGG